GAUGAACGUUGGCGGUGUGCCUAAUACAUGCAAGUCGAACGGAGUUAGUAGCAAUACUGGCUCAGUGGCGAACGGGUGAGUAACGCGUUGGUGAUCUGCCUUGAAGUGUGGAAUAACGUUUCGAAAGGAACGCUAAUACCGCAUGUGCUCUCGAUUUUCAGAAAGUUGAGAGUAAAGGAUUUAUUCGCUUCAAGAGGAGCCUGCGUCCCAUCAGCUAGUUGGUGAGGCAACGGCUCACCAAGGCGACGACGGGUAGCCGGCCUGAGAGGGUGUCCGGCCACACUGGAACUGAGACACGGUCCAGACUCCUACGGGAGGCAGCAGUGGGGAAUUUUGGGCAAUGGGGGAGACCCUGACCCAGCGACGCCGCGUGAGGGACGAAGGCCCUUGGGUCGUAAACCUCUUUUGCAGGGGAAGAAGAAGAUGACGGUACCUUGCGAACAAGUCCCGGCUAACUACGUG
rnacentral:rRNA from 1 species